CAGUGAUUAACGGGAUGUCAAGUGAUCAAAUGAUCAAGGCUAAACAUUCACUCUAAAAUCACCUUGCAUGUGUUCCCAAAUCUAGUUCUUUUCCUAGCUAGGUCUGGUAUUAUAAACACAAGUGACACAC